rnacentral:siRNA from 1 species
UUGUAAUUGAUUCUGGUCACC